rnacentral:rRNA from 1 species
CGGAGGGUGCGAGCGUUAAUCGGAAUUACUGGGCGUAAGGGUGCGUAGGUGGUUCGUUAAGUUAAUUGUGAAAUUCCUGGGCUUAACCUGGGACGGUCAAUUAAGACUGGCGGACUGGAGUAUAGGAGAGGGUAGUGGAAUUUCCGGUGUAGCGGUGAAAUGCGUAGAGAUCGGAAGGAACACCAGUGGCGAAGGCGGCUACCUGGCCUAAUACUGACACUGAGGCACGAAAGCGUGGGGAGCAAACAGGAUUAGAUACCCUGGUAGUCCACGCUGUAAACGAUGUCAACUAGCUGUUGGUCUUAUAGAAGAGACGAGUGGCGCAGCAAACGCGAUAAGUUGACCGCCUGGGGAGUACGGUCGCAAGAUUA